GGCGCUUCUGGAACGCGGCGCGGCUCCCCCCACGCCACCCCCACUCCCACCCCUCUGUCCCCGCCCGGGGGUAGGAAGGAAAAAGGGCUCGAGACGAGGGGGAAGGGGCUAGGAUUUCCCCGGCUGGAGCCGCUAAUGGCCGGAGAGAAGGGGAUUUCAGUUCUGAGCUGGAAGUAAGUCGGUUGCGUCCUGCAUCCCUUAGCCCGCGCCCCCGGCCGGAGGGACCGCACUGGCCCUCAAGGAGAUUUGGGACUGUGCCCGCUGUGCUUGGGCCCCCGCGACCACAUAGAAAUCCCACGCCUCCCCGCCCUGUCCAUCCGGCGGGGUGCCUGCGGGCUGCGCUGCCCUCCGCCCGCCUGGUCCACGCCGCGCUCCUCGGCUCCCUCCCGCGCUUGCUGGGCACCCAGGCCAGUCCCAGGGGCCCGAAAGCCAGGGACCCGGAUGGGACCCUCCAGAAGCCCUGAUGGGGCAGGCCUGCCAGAAGACAGAAGACACGUGAAAGGAGCUGUUAAAAAAGGACGCUAAGCUUCAGGAACCUGAGAACUCUAUUUUUAAUAAUUCCAUUGGAUCAUCCAGUCAUGGACACCUUCUGCAUAUGGAUCUUUGCUCUUAUUUAAAUCCCGCAAGGGUGAGUAUGGUUGAUGUAGCUUGUGUUGUGUUUCUAUCUCUGGGAAUAGUUGUGUGACUAUAAAUGGUAGUUUCACCAUAAGUACAGGAAAAAAAGGUGUUCGUUAAGGUUAAAAAAAUAACGGGGAGGGCAGGGUUUCCACUGAAAGGAAAAGAAAGUAUAUUGUGGGUAGGAAUGUCUACUUCAAUUUUCAGCCAUGAACUAAAAUCUGUAUCUGGUUCAUCUUCUUAUAGAAAAGUCAGCUCAUUAGUGUCUAAUAGUUUAUAUUUUAAAACUGAACAGAUAAAGAAGAGAUACCCAUAAAUACAAUGGAAUAUUGUAUAUUGUACUCAGCCAUAAAAAGGAAUGAAAUUGUUCAAUUUACAGAGAUGUGGAUGGACCUAGAGAGUGUCAUACAGAGUGAAGUACGUCAUAAAGAGAAAAAUGAGUAUUGUAUAUUAAUGUGUAUAUAUGGAAUAUAGAAAAAUGGUACACAUGAAUCUAUUUGCAAAGCAGAAAUGGAGACAACAGAUAGAGAAAAAAUGUAUGGACACCAAAGGAAGAAAGGGAGGUGGGAUGAAUUGGGAGAUUGGGACUGACAUAUAUACACUACUGUGUAUGGUUUUUCCAGUAGUCAUGUACAGAUGUGAGAGUUAAACCAUGAAGGCUGAGCCCUUUGAUGCUUUCCAACUGUACUACUGGAAAAGACUCUUGAGAGUCCCUUGGGCAGCAAGGAGAUCAAACCAAUCAAUCCUAAAGGAAAUCAAUCCUGAAUAUGCAUUAGAAGGACUGAUGCUGAAGCUGCCACCUGGUGCGAAGACUCAACUCAUUGGAAAAGACCAUGUUGCUGGGAAAGAUAGAGGGCAGGAGGAAAAGGGGGUGACAGAGAAUGAGAUGGUCGGAUGACAUCACUGACUCAAUGGACAUGAUUUUGAGCAAACUCCAGGAGACAGUGAAGAACAGGGAAUCCUGGCCUGCUGCAGUCCAUGGGGUCACAAAGUAGGACAUGACUUAGUGAUUGAACAACAAAUGCAACGGUGUAUAAAAUAGAUAACCAAUGAAAACCAACUGUAUAGCACUACUCAAUGCUCUUUCGUGACCUAAAUGGGAAGGCAAUCCAAAAAACAGAGGAUAUUUGUUUAUAUAUGGCUGAUUCACUUUGCUGUACAGCAGAAAAUAAUAUAACAUUGUCAAGGAACUAUACUCCAAUAAAAUUUUUUUAAAAAACUGAAUCAGCACCUACAGUGCUGUUUGUCUCCUUUGCUCCUCUCC
ensembl:lncRNA